rnacentral:rRNA from 1 species
CGCUGGCGGCAUGCCUUACACAUGCAAGUCGAACGGCAGCACGGACUUCGGUCUGGUGGCGAGUGGCGAACGGGUGAGUAAUACAUCGGAACGUGUCCUGGAGUGGGGGAUAGCCCGGCGAAAGCCGGAUUAAUACCGCAUACGCUCUAUGGAGGAAAGCGGGGGAUCUUCGGACCUCGCGCUCAAGGGGCGGCCGAUGGCAGAUUAGCUAGUUGGUGGGGUAAAGGCCUACCAAGGCGACGAUCUGUAGCUGGUCUGAGAGGACGACCAGCCACACUGGGACUGAGACACGGCCCAGACUCCUACGGGAGGCAGCAGUGGGGAAUUUUGGACAAUGGGCGCAAGCCUGAUCCAGCAAUGCCGCGUGUGUGAAGAAGGCCUUCGGGUUGUAAAGCACUUUUGUCCGGAAAGAAAACCUCGUGGUUAAUACCCGUGGGGGAUGACGGUACCGGAAGAAUAAGCACCGGCUAACUACGUGCCAGCAGCCGCGGUAAUACGUAGGGUGCGAGCGUUAAUCG